rnacentral:tRNA from 1 species
GCCAUUUAACUGGGUUUUACACCGCCUCCUACGCGGUAGGUCGCAGGUCGAAUCCUGCCGCGGGCG